rnacentral:rRNA from 1 species
ACUGGUGAAUAGCCCGAAGAAAUUCGGAUUAAUACACCAUAGUAUAUUAGAGUGGCAUCACUUUAAUAUUAAAACUCCGGUGGUUAAAGAUGAGCAUGCGUGACAUUAGCUAGUUGGUGAGGUAAUGGCUCACCAAGGCAACGAUGUCUAGGGGAUCUGAGAGGAUUAACCCCCACACUGGUACUGAGACACGGACCAGACUCCUACGGGAGGCAGCAGUAAGGAAUAUUGGACAAUGGUCGCAAGACUGAUCCAGCCAUGCCGCGUGAAGGAUGAAGGCCCUAUGGGUUGUAAACUUCUUUUGUAUGGGAAAAAACCUCUCUACGUGUAGAGAGCUGAUUGUACCAUAAGAAUAAGGAUCGGCUAACUCCGUGCCAGCAGCCGCGGUAAUACGGAGGAUCCAAGCGUUAUCCGGAUUCAUUGGGUUUAAAGGGUGCGUAGGCGGAAUGAUAAGUCAGUGGUGAAAGCCUGCAGCUUAACUGCAGAACUGCCAUUGAUACUGUCAAUCUUGAGUACAUUUGAUGUGGGCGGAAUGUGUCAUGUAGCGGUGAAAUGCUUAGAUAUGACACAGAACACCGAUUGCGAAGGCAGCUCACAAAACUGUAACUGACGCUGACGCACGAAAGCGUGGGUAUCAAACAGGAUUAGAUACCCUGGUAGUCCACGCUGUAAACUAUGAUUACUCGAUGUUUGCGAUAUACUGUAAGCGUCUAAGCGAAAGCGAUAAGUAAUCCACCUGGGGAGUACGCUCGC